UUUUUCUCUGGUAACUUAAAUCUGCAUCACUAUGCUGUCGAUUACCGUUCAAAGGAGAAUCCACAUGAUCUGAUUCUCUUUCCACAAAUUCACUUUUGGAAGGCUCAUCAGAAUCAGAGUCAAUCAACUGGAACCUUCUCAAUGGACUAAUAGUUAGCUCUGGGAAGACCAAAUUACUAGGGUUAGUUUCCUUACUCUGGUGAACGGAAG
rnacentral:misc_RNA from 1 species